CUGGGCUCGAACGGCUUUGGGUCAUCUUUGGAAACAGAGACUUCUCGCAAGAGACCGGAGUCGAGGUGCUGCAUGGCUGUCGUCAGCUCGUGUCGUGAGGUGUUGGGUUAAGUCCCGCAACGAGCGCAACCCUUGUCCUGUGUUGCCACUCCCGUAAGGGAAGCACUCUCAGGAGACCGCCAGCGAUAAGUUGGAGGAAGGUGGGGAUGAUGUCAAGUCAUCAUGGCCUUUAUGUCCAGGGCUACACACGUGCUACAAUGGACGGUACAAAGCGCUGCAAACCCGCGAGGGGGAGCCAAUCGCAAAAAACCGUUCUCAGUUCGGAUCGCAGGCUGCAACUCGCCUGCGUGAAGCUGGAAUCGCUAGUAAUGGCGUAUCAGAACGAUGCCGUGAAUACGUUCCC
rnacentral:rRNA from 1 species